GCCAUCGAAUUCUCUAGAGCAAAGAUUCUGUGAAGCUGUUGGUGGUGAAUGAGAAGAUUGUCAUACUUAGACUAACCAUCCUCCGCAUGUAACAACCCUAUAUAUGGAUGUGGGACAUCAAGGGAUCUUGCAUGGAUGCAAGCUGUUUGUGGAGCAUAAUUGUUUGUAUGAAGCUACUUUUAAGGAUCUGAUGUAGCUCAUAGUCAUGCAUCACAGGCUUGUCUAAUAAUCCUCCAUUGAAGGAUUUUAGGAUAUACAUAAUGCAGAUGAGAAUAUGAGAGACAGGAGAUUGUCUUACAGAGUAAGACAUGCUUUUAUGGUUACCAUUAUUGAUUAUAAGCGAGUGAAAAUUCAACAUUCUUAACAAUUAUCA